UAUUUAGCGAAGCGAGAAAUUAGUAGCAGUCAGUUUUUGUGCAGAGAGUGAAAGGUUAGUGAGAUUUCACCAAAAAGUGACGGCGAACUCGUUCUCAAGGCUGAACAUUGAAGUAACAGUAGAUGUUUCCGGGGAAUCACCGUUAUAGAUUGAGAGGGCUACGUUUAACGUAGAACUUAGGUGGUACCGCGGUCAAUCGUCCUAUUG
rnacentral:ncRNA from 1 species